rnacentral:rRNA from 1 species
UACGUAGGGGGCUAGCGUUGUCCGGAAUCAUUGGGCGUAAAGAGCGCGUAGGCGGCCCGAUAAGUCCGCUGUGAAAGUCCAGGGCUCAACCCUGGAAUGCCAGUGGAUACUGUCGGGCUAGAGUGCGGAAGAGGCGAGUGGAAUUCCUGGUGUAGCGGUGGAAUGCGCAGAUAUCAGGAGGAACACCAAUAGCGAAGGCAGCUCGCUGGGACGUUACUGACGCUGAGGAGCGAAAGCGUGGGGAGCGAACAGG